rnacentral:tRNA from 11 species
CCGACCUUAGCUCAGCGGUAGAGCGGAGGACUGUAGUGUGUGCUGAAAUCCUUAGGUCGCUCGUGCGAAUCCGGCAGGUCGGA